rnacentral:rRNA from 1 species
GGAUGAACGCUGGCGGCGUGCUUAACACAUGCAAGUCGAACGAUGACCCGGUGCUUGCACCGGUGAUUAGUGGCGAACGGGUGAGUAACACGUGAGUAACCUGCCCUUAACUCUGGGAUAAGCCUGGGAAACUGGGUCUAAUACCGGAUAUGACUCCUCAUCGCAUGGUGGGGGGUGGAAAGCUUUAUUGUGGUUUUGGAUGGACUCGCGGCCUAUCAGCUUGUUGGUGAGGUAAUGGCUCACCAAGGCGACGACGGGUAGCCGGCCUGAGAGGGUGACCGGCCACACUGGGACUGAGACACGGCCCAGACUCCUACGGGAGGCAGCAGUGGGGAAUAUUGCACAAUGGGCGCAAGCCUGAUGCAGCGACGCCGCGUGAGGGAUGACGGCCUUCGGGUUGUAAACCUCUUUCAGUAGGGA